rnacentral:tRNA from 1 species
UUUAAAGUGGCAGAAAAGUGCGUCAGAUUUAAGCUUUGGAUAUGAAAGAUCAAUCGUUCUUUCCUUUAAGU